rnacentral:sRNA from 1 species
CAGUGCACACAAAGACCACACUGCCCACGUUUCAGAGCCCAGAGUUUUCUGUUACAAGGCAACAUGAAGACUUUGUGUGGCUACAUGACACUCUUAUUGAAACAACAGACUAUGCUGGGCUUAUUCCCCACAGGAGUGGAGUGGUUGUCUCCUGUGGACCAGCAAGAGUAGAGGCACCAACUAGAAAACAUCGCUGCUGGGACAAGAGGCUCAUGAGUUCCUGCCUCUGCUGCAGAUUCCACCUGCUCCUACGAAGCCCGACUUUGAUGGUCCUCGAGAGAAGAUGCAGAAACUGGGAGAAGGUGAAGGGUCUAUGACCAAAGAAGAAUUUGCCAAGAUGAAACAAGAACUGGAAGCUGAGUAUCUCGCUGUGUUUAAGAAGACUGUGUCCUCCCAUGAAGUCUUUCUUCAGCGGCUUUCUUCUCACCCUGUUCUCAGUAAAGAUCGCAACUUUCAUGUUUUCCUGGAAUAUGAUCAGGAUCUAAGUGUUAGGCGGAAAAAUACUAAAGAGAUGUUUGGUGGCUUCUUCAAAAGUGUGGUGAAAAGUGCUGAUGAAGUCCUUUUUACUGGAGUUAAGGAGGUAGAUGACUUCUUUGAGCAAGAGAAGAACUUCCUUAUUAACUAUUACAAUAGGAUCAAAGAUUCUUGUGUG